rnacentral:rRNA from 1 species
UACGGAGGGUGCAAGCAUUAAUCGGAUUUAUUGGGCGUAAAGGGCGCGUAGGCGGAGAUAAAAGUCAGAUGUGAAAUCCCGAGGCUCAACCUCGGAACUGCAUUUGAAACUUUAUCCCUAGAGGGUAGGCGGAGAAAACGGAAUUCCACAAGUAGCGGUGAAAUGCGUAGAUAUGUGGAAGAACACCGGUGGCGAAGGCGG